rnacentral:rRNA from 1 species
UACGUAGGGGGCAAGCGUUGUCCGGAUUUAUUGGGCGUAAAGAGCGUGUAGGCGGCCAUACAGGUCAGCUGUGAAAACCCGAGGCUCAACCUCGAGACGUCGGUUGAAACCGUAUGGCUAGAGUCCGGAAGAGGAGAGUGGAAUUCCCGGUGUAGCGGUGAAAUGCGCAGAUAUCGGGAAGAACACCCGUGGCGAAGGCGGCUCUCUGGGACGGUACUGACGCUGAGACGCGAAAGCGUGGGGAGCGAACAGG